AUUGAACGCUAGCGGCAGGCCUAACACAUGCAAGUCGAGCGAGCGGCGGACGGGUGUGUAAUGUCUGUGGAUCUGCCCGCGGGCGGGGGAUAACUACUGGACACGGUGGCUACUACCGCAUACUGUCGGUUGACCCCCUAUGGGUUUACCUAGUAGGUGGGGUAAAGGCUCACCUAGGCGACGAUCUCUAGCUGGUCUGAGAGGCUGAUCAGCCACACUGGGACUGAGACACGGCCCAGACUCCGACGGGAGGCAGCAGUGGGGAAUAUUGCACGAUGGGCGCGAGGCUGACGAAGCCAUGCCGCGUGUAUGAGGAAGGCCUUAGGGUUGUAAAGUACUUUCAGCGGGGAGGUGUUGCCCACAGAAGAAGUACCGGCUAACUCCGUGCCAGCCGCCGCGGUAAUAC
rnacentral:rRNA from 1 species